rnacentral:rRNA from 1 species
UUUCAUAACACCGAGAAGCGAUAACGAUUGUCUACGGACAAGAAGUGACAGAUACCACGCUUCCAGGAAAAGCCACUAAGCUUCAGCCAAGUCAGAACCGUACCGCAAACCGACACAGGUGGGUAGGAUGAGAAUUCUAAGGCGCUUGAGAGAACUCAGGAGAAGGAACUCGGCAAAUUGGUACCGUAACUUCGGGAGAAGGUAUGCCCUUUGAUGUGAAAGACUAGCUCUGUAAGCAUCGGAGGGUCGCAGAGAAUCGGUGGCUGCGACUGCUUAUUAAAAACACAGCACUCUGCUAACACGAAAGUGGACGUAUAGGGUGUGACGCCUGCCCGGUGCUGGAAGGUUAAUUGAAGAUGUGAGAGCAUUGGAUCGAAGCCCCAGUAAACGGCGGCCGUAACUAUAACGGUCCUAAGGUAGCGAAAUUCCUUGUCGGGUAAGUUCCGACCCGCACGAAUGGCGUAACGAUGGCCACACUGUCUCCUCCUGAGACUCAGCGAAGUUGAAACGUUGUGAAGAUGCAAUCUCCCCGCUGCUAGACGGAAAGACCCCGUGAACCUUUACUGUAGCUUUGCAUUGGACUUUGAAGUCACUUGUGUAGGAUAGGUGGGAGGCUUAGAAGCAGAGACGCUAGUUUCUGUGGAGCCGUCCUUGAAAUACCACCCUGGUGACUUUGAGGUUCUAACCCAGACCCGUAAUCCGGGUCGGGGACCGUGCAUGGUAGGCAGUUUGACUGGGGCGGUCUCCUCCCAAAGAGUAACGGAGGAGUUCGAAGGUUACCUAGGUCCGGUCGGAAAUCGGGCUGAUAGUGCGAUGGCAAAAGGUAGCUUAACUGCGAGACCGACAAGUCGAGCAGGUGCGAAAGCAGGACAUAGUGAUCCGGUGGUUCUGAAUGGAAGGGCCAUCGCUCAACGGAUAAAAGGUACUCCGGGGAUAACAGGCUGAUUCCGCCCAAGAGUUCAUAUCGACGGCGGAGUUUGGCACCUCGAUGUCGGCUCAUCACAUCCUGGGGCUGUAGUCGGUCCCAAGGGUAUGGCUGUUCGCCAUUUAAAGUGGUACGUGAGCUGGGUUUAAAACGUCGUGAGACAGUUUGGUCCCUAUCUGCAGUGGGCGUUGGAAGUUUGACGGGGGCUGCUCCUAGUACGAGAGGACCGGAGUGGACGAACCUCUGGUGUACCGGUUGUCACGCCAGUGGCAUAGCCGGGUAGCUAAGUUCGGAAGAGAUAAGCGCUGAAAGCAUCUAAGCGCGAAACUCGCCUGAAGAUGAGACUUCCCUGGUGGUUAAACCACCCUAAAGAGUCGUUCGAGACCAGGACGUUGAUAGGUCGGGUGUGGAAGCGCGGUAACGCGUGAAGCUAACCGAUACUAAUUGCUCGUGAGGCUUGACC